UUGUCUCAAAGAUUAAGCCAUGCAUGUCUAAGUAUAAGCAAUUAUACGGCGAAACUGCGAAUGGCUCAUUAUAUAAGUUAUCGUUUAUUUGAUAGUACUUUACUACUUGGAUAACCGUGGUAAUUCUAGAGCUAAUACAUGCUUAAAAUCCCGACUUCGGAAGGGAUGUAUUUAUUAGAUUAAAAACCAAUGCCCCUCGGGGCUCUCUGGUGAAUCAUGAUAACUAGUCGAAUCGACAGGCCUUGUGCCGGCGAUGGCUCAUUCAAAUUUCUUCCCUAUCAACUUUCGAUGUUUGGGUGUUGUCCAAACAUGGUGGCAACGGGUAACGGAGGGUUAGGGCUCGACCCCGGAGAAGGAGCCUGAGAAACGGCUACUACAUCCAAGGAAGGCAGCAGGCGCGCAAAUUACCCAAUCCCGACACGGGGAGGUAGUGACAAUAAAUACUGAUACAGGGCUCUUUUGGGUCUUGUAAUCGGAAUGAGUACAAUUUAAAUCCCUUAACGAGGAACAAUUGGAGGGC
rnacentral:rRNA from 1 species